rnacentral:tRNA from 1 species
GGCAUCUUGGCCUAAUUGGCAAGGCAUAGUAUUACGGCUACUGGGUAUGUGAGUUCGAAUCUCGCAGGUGCCU